rnacentral:rRNA from 1 species
UACAGAGGGUGCGAGCGUUGUUCGGAAUUACUGGGCGUAAAGCGCGCGCAGGCGGCCUUUUAAGUCUCGUGGUGAAAUGCCGGGGCUCAACCCCGUGCCCGCCGGAGAUACUGGGAGGCUGGAGACGAGUAGAGGCAAGCGGAAUUCCGGGUGUAGCGGUGGAAUGCGUAGAGAUCCGGAAGAACGCCGGUGGCGAAAGCGCGCUGCUGGACCUCUUCUGACGCUGAGGCGCGAAAGCCAGGGGAGCAAACGGG